CCGGAGGACGCAGGAGAGAAGGCUUGGAGGAGGCACAGAGCAGACAACCAUGUGAGGGAGAAGCCCCCGCUUGCUUCUCGGCCUGGGACUUGCGCCAGGGAGUCGGGGGACAUGGAAGGAGACACUGGAAGAGAGAGAGACGCGGUGUGAGUCCUAGGUCAGUCUUCUGCCAUCUGGGUCUCUGUGGCUGGUUCUGGAGCCAUUGCUCAAAGACAGGAAGCCUCCGCAGGGUGGAAGGACGAGAAACUGAAUCCUUUGAAUUAAUAUCUUCAUCACAGAACUUUUUACAAAAUUCAAGUGAGAUUAUCCACAAAUACACACCAAGGAGACAGCCUACCAUGUGGUACUUAUUUUGGGAUUAUGCUUGAUGAGUGCUUCUGUGCCUCAUGGAUCUUGGAGGCUGUUCUGUAUUUUGGGAUCCAGACCCUCACAAAACAAGUUUGUGGUAACUUUGAUGCCAGUUCAUCCAGACUUGUCAUCACACCCACUUGAAAGCCAGAAAACCUCAAGAUGUGAGUCUAGUAGUAGAACUUAAUAGGUAGAUGUACUCAAGUGAUUGACAUACUGAGCAGCUGUAACCAUUUUAAGUUCUCCCACCCAUGUGAAAGAUACAGUUUCUCUGCAUCCUCACCAGCAUAAGCCUCUCAGCCAUUGAUUUUGAAAACUCAGAUGCCUCUAGGGAAAAGGAAACAGGCACAAUCAUUGAGGUCGCUUCUUUUUUCUCCAAGAUGUUGGUAUCACAAGCCCUCUAUCUUGAAGAAAGUUUGAAAUUGGAUUGGAACCUUGUCCACUGUUGUUGGGAAUGUAAAUCAGCACAGCCAUUAUGGAAAGCAGUAUGGCGGCUUCUCAAAAAAAUAAAAAUAGAACCACCAUAUGAUCCAGCAAUUCCACUUCUACUUUUAUAUCCAGCAAUUCCACUUCUAGGUAUAUAUAGGUAUGGAAACAUGAAAAGAACCCAGAAAAGGAGAUCCUGAAAUUUGUGACAACAUCACGAUCCUGGAGGAUGUUAUGGCAAGUGAAAUAAGCCAGAAGCCAGACAUAGAAAGACAAAUACUGCAUGAUCUCACAUAUAUAUGGAACCUAAAUAAGUCAAACUCAUAAAAGCAGAGAGUAGAAUGGUGGUUACCAGGCCUUGGGAGAUUAAGGAAAUGGGAAAAUGUUGCUCAAAGGGUACAAAGUUUCAGUUAUUCAGGAUGAAUAAAUUCUGGACCUCUAAUUUACAGUCAUGACUAUAGUCAGUAAUGCCAUUUUGCAUACUUGAAAUUUACUAAGAGAAUAAAUCUUAAUUGUUCUCAUGGGAAAAAGGUGACCUAUGUGAAAAAAUAAAUGUUAAUUUUCUUGAUUGUAGUGAUCAUUUCACAAUGUCCACAUAUAUCAAAAUAUCAAGUUCUACAACUUAAAUGUAUAGGAUUUUUGUCAAUUAUAUCUCAAUGAAGUUAGGAAGACAAGCAAUUGUCAUAAGAUACUUACUAAACCUGUUUUUUUUUCUCUUUCACAUACUUCUUUUGGAAAUAUCUAGUUAUGGAAGUAGGGGCAUAGUAUAAAACUAGAUUCAGAA